AGAGGGGGCGCUGUUGAGGCACUCAUUAGCGGUAAAUAGCCACAGGUGUGGCUGUAGAGGGGUCUUAGGUCGUGAGAUUGAGUUAAGAGUCUCUGGAGACGACUCUCUGCAGGUGAGACACUGAGUUUAUGGGAUUAACACAGGCGACGCACGGUUUCUGUCAAGACACUUCUACGAGAGAAUGGUUGUAAAUAAACGGUGGAGCUGAACGACUGGGAUCAAGGCACGGGCUGGUCACCUGGACCGACGGUUCACCCCCCGGCCGGAGACGAAGUGCUGGUGCGGCGUGUCACUGAGAGAGCUGUUCGCUUACUGGUGGCUCGGGACCUGCGCCUCUGACCGACCUUGGAGAGCAGCUGGAGGCUAAUGACUGCUUCAGACGGAGAAAGGACUCGACGAGAUGCAACGCCAACCAACCGAUCCAGCCGACAGACGGGCCAUCCUGACCCACAUUCAGGCCUGAUCUGUCGGACAGAGAUUCAUGUGGUUCGCGCAAUUACCAUUCCACACAAAUGGUUGUCCUUGAAGUUAGCGCAGGCUAGCAGAGCAGAUGGUCCAGUCCCUGGCCCCCGCCCUCGUCUAAGCACAAGCAGGCGGUGAUUUACCGGAUGAUGAUCGCAGGCCUCUGAUCAAAUCAUCAGAUGUUUAAAUCCCGAGCCGUUCCCCAUCGAUUUGCCAUCAGAGCCACUCGCCGAUGUUUUGUUUACCGCCAUUUCCUGAAUCAGCCGAGCCCCGGGGAGAGGGGAGUGUAAUUAUACAUGUAAAUUCCCCGCAAAGUGCCUUGAAGGAGCACCUCGGAAAAGGUCUUC
ensembl:lncRNA